AAAUUGAAGAGUUUGAUCAUGGCUCAGAUUGAACGCUGGCGGCAGGCCUAACACAUGCAAGUCGAACGGUAACAGGAARCAGCUUGCUGYUUCGCUGACGAGUGGCGGACGGGUGAGUAAUGUCUGGGAAACUGCCUGAUGGAGGGGGAUAACUACUGGAAACGGUAGCUAAUACCGCAUAACGUCGCAAGACCAAAGAGGGGGACCUUCGGGCCUCUUGCCAUCGGAUGUGCCCAGAUGGGAUUAGCUAGUAGGUGGGGUAACGGCUCACCUAGGCGACGAUCCCUAGCUGGUCUGAGAGGAUGACCAGCCACACUGGAACUGAGACACGGUCCAGAC
rnacentral:rRNA from 1 species